AAANNGGGGGAAAAGGGGACUACAAUGCAAGUCGAGCGGUCACAGAUCCAGCUUGCUGGAUGCUGACGAGCGGCGGACGGGUGAGUAAUGCAUAGGAAUCUGCCCGGUAGUGGGGGAUAACCUGGGGAAACCCAGGCUAAUACCGCAUACGUCCUACGGGAGAAAGGGGGCUUCGGCUCCCGCUAUCGGAUGAGCCUAUGUCGGAUUAGCUAGUUGGUGAGGUAACGGCUCACCAAGGCCACGAUCCGUAGCUGGUCUGAGAGGAUGAUCAGCCACAUCGGGACUGAGACACGGCCCGAACUCCUACGGGAGGCAGCAGUGGGGAAUAUUGGACAAUGGGGGCAACCCUGAUCCAGCCAUGCCGCGUGUGUGAAGAAGGCCCUCGGGUUGUAAAGCACUUUCAGCGAGGAAGAACGCCUAGCGGUUAAUACCCGCUAGGAAAGACAUCACUCGCAGAAGAAGCACCGGCUAACUCCGUGCCACAGCCGCGGUAAUACGGAGGGUGCAGCGUUAAUCGGAAUUACUGGGCGUAAAGCGCGCGUAGGUGGCUUGAUAAGCCGGUUGUGAAAGCCCCGGGCUCACCUGGGAACGGCAUCCGGACUGUNCAGCUAGAUGCAGGAGAGGAAGUAAAUUCCCGGUGUAGCGGUGAAUGCGUAGAGAUCGGGAGGAUACAGUGGCGAGGCGGCUUCUGGCUGACACUGACACUGAGGGCGAAGCGUGGUAGCAACAGGAUAGAUACCCUGGUAGUCACGCCGUAACGAGUCGACAGCCGUGGGUGCUAGCGCACUUGUGGCGAAUUACGCGAUAGUCGACGCCUGGGAGACGGCGCCAGGUAAACUCAAUGAUUGACGGGGCCGCACAGCGUGGACAGGGGUUAAUUCAUGCACCGAAAACUUACUACUCUGACUCUGCAAAUUGGAAAAACCUAAUGCUUCGGACCAAAACAGGGCUCAGGCUGCCCCCCCCUGUGGAAAGUUGGUAAGCCCGAACAGGCCACCUUGCCUUUUGCAGCCGAAGGCGGACUUAAGGAAUGCGGGAAACCGAGAAGGGGGAAAUUAAUCCCUGGCCUUAAAAUGGCACCCCUGCCAAGGUCGUCAAGGUGCCAUCCCAAGUGCCUUCC
rnacentral:rRNA from 1 species